GACGAACGCUGGCGGCGUGCUUAACACAUGCAAGUCGAACGGAAAGGCUCCAGCUUGCUGGAGUACUCGAGUGGCGAACGGGUGAGUAACACGUGGGCAAUCUGCCCUGCACUCUGGGAUAAGCCUGGGAAACUGGGUCUAAUACUGGAUAGGACCUUUCUCCUCAUGGGGUUUGGUGGAAAGUUUUUCGGUGCAGGAUGAGCCCGCGGCCUAUCAGCUUGUUGGUGGGGUAAUGGCCUACCAAGGCGACGACGGGUAGCCGGCCUGAGAGGGUGAUCGGCCACAUUGGGACUGAGAUACGGCCCAGACUCCUACGGGAGGCAGCAGUGGGGAAUAUUGCACAAUGGGCGGAAGCCUGAUGCAGCGACGCCGCGUGAGGGAUGACGGCCUUCGGGUUGUAAACCUCUUUCAGUAGGGACGAAGCGUAAGUGACGGUACCUGCAGAAGAAGCACCGGCUAACUACGUGCCAGCAGCCGCGGUAAUACGUAGGGUGCGAGCGUUGUCCGGAAUUACUGGGCGUAAAGAGCUCGUAGGCGGUUUGUCACGUCGUCUGUGAAAUCCUAGGGCUUAACCCUGGACGUGCAGGCGAUACGGGCUGACUUGAGUACUACAGGGGAGACUGGAAUUUCUGGUGUAGCGGUGGAAUGCACAGAUAUCAGGAAGAACACCGAUGGCGAAGGCAGGUCUCUGGGUAGUAACUGACGCUGAGGAGCGAAAGC
rnacentral:rRNA from 1 species